rnacentral:rRNA from 1 species
AUGUCGGGCCUUACAAUCAACUUCGCUAAGAGCGAAGUGAUGGUGAUGGGCUAUUCCCCCGCGGAGAGCCAGACAAUAGCCAACCGACUCAACUGUCAGUUAAGCUCCUUCCCCACCACCUACCUGGGGAUUCCCAUUAGUGACUCUCGGCUCUCCGUCGCAGACUUGAGACCUUCAAUGCUCAAGCUCCAUCACCGUAUCAAGCCCUGGCAGGGUAGAUGGCUGUCUAAGGCAGCGCGGACGAUUCUCAUUAACUCAUCCUUGUCCAGCCUACUCCUGUUCAUCAUGAGCUUCUACAGCUUGCCCGAGACGCUCCACCAUGAGAUCAGCACGGUCCAAGCACGUUUUUUCUGGGCCGGCGAGGGUGAUAAGCAGAAAUAUCAUAUGGUGCGUUGGACCGACAUCUGCAAACCUCGGGACCAGGGCGGACUCGGGAUCAUGUCCUCCAAACGGAUGAACAUUGCUCUCCUGACACGUUGGCUAUGGCGGAUCGCCAAUGGGGAGGGUGGGCUGCGGCUGCAUAUCAUCCGGAACAAAUACCUGCGCGGUCAGCCGCUCGCCAUCUGCCAGCGGUCUGGGGGCUCCCAGUUCUCGCAAUCUAUCAUCCAGUUGGUCCCGGUCCUCCUCAUCGAGACCUCCAUUACAGUGGGCACAGGGACCGCCACCCUUUUCUGGUUUGACAGGUGGGCUAGGGAUGCCCCCUUCGCGGCUCGUUUCCCAGACCUGUUCUCCAUCGCGGUGGACCCUCGGGUCUCACUUGAGGCGGCCCUUAUUGACUUAGGGCGCCUCACGUUCCGGCGGCCACUUGGGCCCCCGGAAAUAGCCGCUUGGCACGAGCUCCUAGACAUUGUGGCGCUCCACGAGCCGGACCUGGAGCUGGCGCACGACCGCCUAUCCUGGUACCUAGAGCCCUCGGCCAAAUUCUCCACGAAGUCCCUAUACUGGGCCACCGCUGCCACUCCAGGACCCGCGCCCCUAGAGACGAUCUGGCCGAUGAGACUCCCUCUGAAGAUCAGGAUCUUCCUAUGGCAAUGGAUCCGAGGGCGGGUGCCUUCUGGUGUGGAGGUGCUGAAGCGGAAUGUCCCGGGAGAUGGGACAUGUCCCUUGUGUGGGACGGAAGAAGACUCAAACCACAUCUUCUUCUCGUGUGUCUCCGCCCAGUUCCUCUGGAGUUGCCUACGUGAGGUAGUCGGUGGUCGUUGGUGUAACACCUCUUCGCCGAGCUCCAGGCCUCGCCCCCAGAGGGUCGCCACAUUAGGUGGCUGGCCAUUGGGGUCCUUGCGUGAAUGCUAUGGACGGUUCAAAAUAAGCUUGUGA